GGCUUGUGGAAAACGGGGUGAGAAUUGAAAAAAAAAAAAAGUGAGACGAAGUAUUAUAAAAAAAAGAGUGGAGUGAAAAAGAAAGGGUAAAAAAAAGUGGGGUUAUCCUGCGCUUGGAAGAAGAAAUAGGAAAAGGAAAAAAAUAGUGUGGAGAAAAAAAAAUGGAGAGUGAGUAAAAAAAAAAAAAAAGGAUGCAAAAGAAUGUCUUUCAAAAGAUUUUCAAAAGUAUGGUAGAAGAAAAGGAAUUCAUAUUGAGUCAUUGAAAGAAAUAUGUUAGAUGACAAGAGUCGAGUUUGAUGAAUGGUUGUACGAUCAUAGGUCAUAUUUUGAGAGAAAAAGAAAUGAUAUUUGGAUGAAAAUACUAGAUGACUUGAGAUGGUGGUAGAGACAGGCAAGUAUCUCAUCUCGGUUUUAACAGAAUAUUUUUAGAGGAAGAAGAAAGAAGGUUGAAAGAUAUUGAAGAUGGUGCUAAAACUGCUGAAGAUUAUUUUCGAUGGAUGGGUAAGGUCGGAGAUGAGUAUCGAUUAAUCCAACUAAAAGUUCAACUGGAGAACCUAAUUACUCUACAGUGUACACCACCUAUAGCACAGUUGGAAGUUAAUAAUUCUGAUCCAAUUUCAUCCACAUCAUUCGAUUGCAAAGAAGUUCUAGAUAUGACCGAGUUAGAAUUUGAGCAUCCACAGUCAAAUCAUGAAGCCGAGAUAGAUGAGCGUGUUGAAGAGGUAAGAUUACAGAUCGAGUUACCCUUAUUGCCCCAGCAAUAUGAGUGCACUAUACUAGAGCUUCAGACUUGCAUUGAAAGCAUCUGUCUUAUUGGUAUUAAACCUUACGAAAUCUCAUAAACUUAUUAUUUGUUAUCCCUACUUCAAUAUCAAACUUGAAACUCAGAUGAUACAAGUGGUUCGACAUGCAGGCAUUGGGCUGCAUCACUUUAUUUUGCACUCUUGGUUAUUUCCUAUCUCCUCACAAUUCCAACUAAUCGCGAGGAUGAGAUCCUACGCAGAGGAAGCAAAUGAUGCAGAACAGGCUUAAACCUAUGUUGAUCGGAUUAAACUGAUUUAGUUCAGCAUUUUUUAAAUUAGAUUACAUUAGUUGAGAAUAUCUUUUCGUUAGUUAACUGAGGAUUUUUAUCUAUCCUAUUAUUUUGUUUUAUCUGUAUUUAUUUUUAGUUUUCAUUUUUUUGUUAAUCGCUAGAUAAAGUCAUUUUAGUUGGUUAUUUAGGAUAAGAUUAAAUUCUAAGUUGGUUAUGUAUAGAUAAGGUUAGGAAUAGUACAAAUAAGACAUAAGGCUUCUUUGUAUAGGGAUGAAUAUGAAUUUAUGAAUUUAUAAUGAACAAAUGUUUUGGCAAUGAUGUCUUUUUUUUCCUUCGCGAAUGCGUCGCCCUGGAGUGAGUCUAGUCGCAAAGUGAGUUCGGUUCAAGAGUGAGUCCUGAUUAUUUUUUCUAUUUUUUUCUUUUUUUUGAAAUUUCUAUUUUCUUUAAUUUUUAUUUUUUUAAUUAUGAAAAUUUCUAAAAAAGUAUUUCAAAAACUUUCAAAUUUUCGAAAAUCUUUCAAAAUCAUAAAUUAUAUUUUGGAGCCUUCUAAAAACGUAGGACCCUAUAUUCUGUCCUACAUUAGAUUUGGUAUUAGAGCUUAGGCUAUUUGACGAUUUUGUUUUGUCAAAAGAUUUGUGCUUGUGGAAGAAAACAGGGUGAGAAUUGAAAAAAAAAAAGUGAGACGAAGUAUUAUAAAAAAAAGAGUGGACUGAAAAAGAAAGGGUAAAAAAAAGUGGGGUUAUCUUGCUCUUGGAAGAAGAAAUAGGAAAAGGAAAAAGUGUGGAGAAAAAAAAUGGAGAGAGAGUAGAAAAAAAUAUGGAUGCAAAAGAAUGUCUUAAAAAAGUUUUUCAAAAGUAUGGUAGAAGAAAAGGAAUUCAUAUUGAGUCAUUGAAAGAAAUAUGUGAGAUGACAAGAGUCGAUUUUGAUGAAUGGUUGUACGAUUAGAAGUCAUAUUUUGAGAGAAAAAGAAAUGAUAUUCGAAUGAAAAUACUAGAUGACUUGAGAUGGUGGUAUAGACAAAGGCAAGUAUCUCAUCUCGAUUUUAACAAAAUAUUUUUAGAGGAAGAAAAAAAAAGGUUGAAAGAUAUUGAAGAUGGUGCUAAAACUGCUGAAGAUGAUUUUCGAUGGAUAGGUAAGGUCAGAGAUGAGUAUCGAUUAAUCCAACUAAAAGUUUAACUGGAGAACCUAAUUACUCUACAGCGUACAUCACCUAUAGCACACAGUUGAAAGUCAAUAAUUC
rnacentral:lncRNA from 1 species